rnacentral:rRNA from 1 species
CUACGUAGCUCAGAGUUUGAUCCUGGCUCAGGACGAACGCUGGCGGCGUGCCUAACACAUGCAAGUCAAACGGAGUUACUUAUUCAGAUCCCUUCGGGGUGAUGAAUAUUUAACUUAGUGGCGGACGGGUGAGUAACGCGUGAGUAACCUGCCUUACAGAGGGGGACAACAGUUGGAAACGACUGCUAAUACCGCAUGAUGUUUCGAGAGGGCAUCCUCUUGAAACCAAAGGAGCAAUCCGCUGUAAGAUGGACUCGCGUCCGAUUAGAUAGUUGGUGGGGUAACGGCCUACCAAGUCUACGAUCGGUAGCCGGACUGAGAGGUUGAACGGCCACAUUGGGACUGAGACACGGCCCAG